rnacentral:rRNA from 1 species
CCUACGGGGUGCAGCAGUGGGGAAUAUUGGACAAUGGGCGAAAGCCUGAUCCAGCCAUGCCGCGUGUGUGAAGAAGGCCUUCGGGUUGUAAAGCACUUUCAGUGUGGAAGAAAGCCUUGGGGCUAAUACCCUCGAGGAAGGACAUCACCCACAGAAGAAGCACCGGCUAACUCCGUGCCAGCAGCCGCGGUAAUACGGAGGGUGCGAGCGUUAAUCGGAAUUACUGGGCGUAAAGCGCGCGUAGGCGGUCUGAUAAGCCGGUUGUGAAAGCCCCGGGCUCAACCUGGGAACGGCAUCCGGAACUGUCAGGCUAGAGUGCAGGAGAGGAAGGUAGAAUUCCCGGUGUAGCGGUGAAAUGCGUAGAGAUCGGGAGGAAUACCAGUGGCGAAGGCGGCCUUCUGGACUGACACUGACGCUGAGGUGCGAAAGCGUGGGUAGCAAACAGGAUUAGAUACCCGGGUAGUC